rnacentral:rRNA from 1 species
UACGUAGGGAGCAAGCGUUGUCCGGAAUCAUUGGGCGUAAAGCGCGCGUAGGUGGCCCCGUAAGUCCGCUGUGAAAGUCAAAGGCUCAACCUUUGAAAGCCGGUGGAUACUGUGGGACUAGAGUACGGAAGAGGCGAGUGGAAUUCCUGGUGUAGCGGUGGAAUGCGCAGAUAUCAGGAGGAACACCGGUGGCGAAGGCGGAUCUCUGGGCCAUUACUGACGCUGAGGAGCGAAAGCGUGGGGAGCGAACAGG